GACGAACGCUGGCGGCGUGCUUAACACAUGCAAGUCGAACGGUAAGGCCCUUCGGGGUACACGAGUGGCGAACGGGUGAGUAACACGUGGGUGAUCUGCCCUGCACUUCGGGAUAAGCCUGGGAAACUGGGUCUAAUACCGGAUAGGACCAUGGACUUCACGGUUUGUGGUGGAAAGCUUUUGCGGUGUGGGAUGGGCCCGCGGCCUAUCAGCUUGUUGGUGGGGUAAUGGCCUACCAAGGCGACGACGGGUAGCCGGCCUGAGAGGGUGUCCGGCCACACUGGGACUGAGAUACGGCCCAGACUCCUACGGGAGGCAGCAGUGGGGAAUAUUGCACAAUGGGCGCAAGCCUGAUGCAGCGACGCCGCGUGAGGGAUGACGGCCUCGGUU
rnacentral:rRNA from 1 species